GUAUUUAGGUUGCGCGUGCGCAAUAAGCAUUCGACGUACAUAAUAAGCUGGUGUGAAAGCGUCGGACAGGAGGCGCGAGCCACCUUGACGUCCGACGGGCUUCGUGCACAGGUGUGAGGAGACAUACCUCAAGAGGCGUGCACAUGCGCCCGAGAGCGCCAGCACAACCCCCCGGGAGUACAUUCGUUAAUGAUCCUUCCGCAGGUUCACCUACGGAAA
rnacentral:misc_RNA from 1 species